ensembl:lncRNA
CUGGGAGGCCUUCUGCAGCAGUUUGUAACCCCCCUGCCCUGCUUCUUCCAGGAGGCAUCGCCAGAGCAUCCAGCCCCUCUGAGAAACGAGAGAGAAGCAGCCGAAGCCGAGGAGGAGCUGCUGGGUGCUGGAAGCACUGGGAACAGGCCUACCAGUGUGAAUCCACCAGAGUACGUGCUGAAUUUAAAGCAUGUGAGCAAUCACCUUGAAUCUCUAAGGAUUUGAGAUUGCCAGAACGGGAGUUGCUUCAGCCAUUCCAUCACGGCCAACUCCCAAUAAAUUUGGACUCCUUUUCCAUUCCUGU